rnacentral:lncRNA from 1 species
GUGGGAUAAGAAUGCUUAAGGAAAAAACUGGGGAAGAAAUGAGAGAUAUAGAAGAAUUGGAAAGGGAAUUAAAAGCUUGGCACUAGAAAUAUAAAACUCUAUCCAAGCAACAAACUCCCUGAAAAUUCAUAUGGACAGAACAGAAGCUAAUCAAUUUACCUGGCAACAAGAAAUAUUAAAAAAAAAGUCAAGAGGCUCACAAAAUGGAAUAAAAUAUAAAUUAUCUCACAGCAAAAACAACUGACUAGAAAGGACAGCUCAAAGACAAAAAAAAAUAAGUCACUGUACAUCUGAACACCAUGACCAAAGAAAGAGCUUGGCCAACCUCAUUCAAGAAAUCUUUAAAGAAAUUUGCCUAAAGAUCUUAGAAACAAAGGAAAAAAUAGAAAUAAAAAGAAGCAAGCAGGCACCUCCUUAAAGAAACACCAAAAUGAAACUCUUGGGAAAAUCAUAGUCAAAAUCCAAAUUUUUCCCUGGUAAAAAAAAGCAUACUGCAAGAAGUCAGAAAAAAAGAAUUCAGGUAACAAAAAGUCAGUCCCGAUAUAGCAGCCACCAUUUAAGGAGCAAAGAAUUUGAAAUGUGAUAUUCCAGAAGGCAAAGGAUAUGGGCUUAUAGCCAAGAAUAAUUUAUUAAAACUUAGCAUAAUAUAGACAAUUCUCCUUUACAUCUGUCUUUAGACCUCUAUAUAAUGUUAUUUUUACAUAAUUCUGGGAGGGUGAGUGGAAGGGGACCUUGAACCCUGGGAGGAAGGGAGCCAACAUGAGGUUCAAGGACAGGACCAGAGGAACAGGGAGGGACCAGACAUGUUGGGGCCAGACACAGACUGGAGAGAAUAGGUUACAAGGGCAGGGGAGAGAUACUCAAUACCACAUCAAAGAUAGCUGAAAGUCAGUGAGGACACUUGGCCCAUGGGUUAGAAUGGGGCAAAAGUCUCUUCUCUAUGUUCAGGAAAUCUCACGCCAAGUGGUUUAUAUCAGUUCCUUUGCUUCCACUUGGAGGGGUUUUUCUUGUUGUUGUUUUUUCUAUUUUUUUAAAUGGGGGGAUAGAAGGCUGAAGAUCCCAUGGGCAGGAAUGGAGAGAGAGCACAGAAUUUAGUGCAGCUGGGAGAAAAAUGUUGACAACUAAGGAGGUAAUGACGAGAAGAAUUGAGUUCUAGCUUUCCCUGCUGACUGAAAACCAUUCUGCUUGCCAC